rnacentral:rRNA from 1 species
UACAGGGGGGGCAAGCGUUGUUCGGAAUUACUGGGCGUAAAGGGCUCGUAGGCGGCCAACUAAGUCCGACGUGAAAUCCCAAAGCUUAACUUUGGAACUGCGUCGGAUACUGGAUGGCUUGAAUUCGGGAGUGAGGGAUGCAGAAUUCCAGGUGUAGCGGGUGAAAUGCGUAGAUAUCGUGGAGGAAUACCGGUGGCGAAGGCGGCAUCCUGGACCGACAUUGACGCGUGGAGGAGCGAAAGCUGAGGGGAGCAAACGGG